rnacentral:lncRNA from 1 species
UAAAAACUCAUAUAUAUGAAGAAUAUUUAGGUUGCGUUUGGAAUUGCGAAAAAAUUAUAUUACGUGCAGUGAGAAAAUACAAUUAAAAAAUACAUUAUUUAUUUCCGUACGUAAUAUUGCAUUUCGUAUAUUACGAUGAGUUAGUUACGAUAUAUUUUCUAUAGUUUUAUCGAAAAACACAAAAACAUAUUCCUGUAUGUUUUUUUCCCAACUCUAUUUUAUCUGAGGUCCUUAAUACCAAACUAAGGCUUAGUUGUCAAAAUUCUUAACAGUGGAGUAUUCUUAUGUAAGGUGCAUGAGUUUGUUCAUAGCCGUGAUGAAUGCAUACAUGGAUGAGGAGAUGUCACUCUUAAUUAAUUUGUUCAUGGAGACUAAUAGAAUGACUUUAUGGGGUUUUGAUUGCACACAGUUUGUCAUAUAUCAAACUUUCUAGGAUGCGACAAGUUUGCCAUAAAAUUUAGAAUUGAUUCAAUUUGACUCAAAUUUCGAAUCAUGCAAGACUAAUAAUAUAUCCCUAGCAUCACAAUGUUACUAUCACAGACGUGACAACCGUUAGGCUUCGUCUGGUUCGGGUAUAAGUAAGAAUUAAUUAUUUUAGGAAUAGAUAUUAGAUGAGAUAUAAGGUAGGUAUAGAGUAAUUUUGUGUUUGGUUGAGUAUUGAGUUUAAUCUAAGUAAAUAAAAUAGUGUUUGAUUGGAAUAAGUGGAAUAAGAAGGAUAGUGGGUGGUUAUAAAUAGAAAAUAACAAUAUUGCCCUCUUUAUUAUAUUUGAAUUAAAAUUUUUAAAUUUUAUAUUUAAAAUUUUAAAUUUAAAUAUAUAACUCUUAAAUUUUAAAAAUACAAUAUUAAAAUUUGAAUUUAAAAAUCUCAAAUUCGAAAAUUUAAAGUUCUAAAUUUUUAGUUUCAAAUUUCAAAUUUAAGAUCAAAUCUAAAUUUAGAAAUAUAAAAUUUUAAAUUUUAAAUUAAAAAAAUUGAAUAUAUCAAUUUAUAAUUUAAAUUUUAAAAUUUAUAAUUUAUAAUUAUAAAUUUUAACUUUAAGAUUACAAAUUAUAAAUUUUUAAAAUUUAUAAUUUAAAUUUUAAAAUUUUAAUUUAAAUUUAAAAAUUAAAUACGGGUGGGAAUAGAGAGGAGGGGUGGGAUUGCUAUCCCACCCGUUAACGAGAUAACCAGUUAAGAGUGCCCAUUUUUUUCGUUUGGGUUUUUUCGUUUGGAUGUAAAGGAUGGGAUAACCCUUUAUACCUCAAACAAAUAGAGUGUAUGGGACCAAAAUGUUGGACAAAAAUUGUAUGGGCAUCCGACGAUGCCGAUGGGCGCCGCAUGGUGUGCUGACGCCCAUCGCAGCCCUCCCUUUCUUUCACCUGCUUCUUUCUCUCUCUCUUUAAAAAAUUAGAGCCACAAAUUUUUUUUUUUCUCUUUUUUUUUGUUUCUGUUCGUGCGAUGGGCGCCCGCACACCACGAGACGCCCAUCGGCAUCAUUCCCAAACAAGUUGUUUGGGGACGAUGCCCAUACAAUUUUUGUCGCUCAAAGUCCUAUAGGUCAUCCACUCAUAAUAUGGCAAGAAAAUAAAUACACAUUUGGAGAUACUAUUAGGGAUGAGCAAUGGAAAAACUGAACCAAACCGACAUAAUUCAGUUAAUAAGGUUCGGUUCGAUCAAUUAUUUUGUUUAAAC